rnacentral:rRNA from 1 species
AACGAACGCUGGCGGCAUGCCUAACACAUGCAAGCCGAACGAGAUCUUCGGGUCUAGCGGCGCACGGGUGCGUAACGCGUGGGAAUCUGCCCUUUGGUUCGGAAUAACAGUUGGAAACGACUGCUAAUACCGGAUGAUGACGAAAGUCCAAAGAUUUAUCGCCAGAGGAUGAGCCCGCGUAGGAUUAGCUAGUUGGUGUGGUAAAGGCGCACCAAGGCGACGAUCCUUAGCUGGUCUGAGAGGAUGAUCAGCCACACUGGGACUGAGACACGGCCCAGACUCCUACGGGAGGCAGCAGUGGGGAAUAUUGGACAAUGGGCGAAAGCCUGAUCCAGCAAUGCCGCGUGAGUGAUGAAGGCCUUAGGGUUGUAAAGCUCUUUUACCCGGGAUGAUAAUGACAGUACCGGGAGAAUAAGCUCCGGCUAACUCCGUGCCAGCCGCCGCAGUAA